GUGGGGAAUAUUGGACAAUGGGGGGAACCCUGAUCCAGCCAUGCCGCGUGUGUGAAGAAGGCCUUUUGGUUGUAAAGCACUUUAAGCGAGGAGGAGGCUACCGAGAUUAAUACUCUUGGAUAGUGGACGUUACUCACAGAAUAAGCACCGGCUAACUCUGUGCCAGCAGCCGCGGUAAUACAGAGGGUGCAAGCGUUAAUCGGAUUUACUGGGCGUAAAGCGCGCGUAGGUGGCCAAUUAAGUCAAAUGUGAAAUCCCCGGGCUUAACUUGGGAAUUGCAUUCGAUACUGGUUGGCUAGAGUAUGGGAGAGGAUGGUAGAAUUCCAGGUGUAGCGGUGAAAUGCGUAGAGAUCUGGAGGAAUACCGAUGGCGAAGGCAGCCAUCUGGCCUAAUACUGACACUGAGGUGCGAAAGCAUGGGGAGCAAACAGGAUUAGAUACCCCUGUAGUCC
rnacentral:rRNA from 1 species